rnacentral:lncRNA from 10 species
CCAGGAUCUGACCCCAUGUCAGACUUGAGAAACUUUGCAGACAAGGGCACUGUUUCUGUGGUUACAGAAGUCAUAUAUAAAAUGCCAUCACCUCCUGUGCUAUGGCGUAGGGCCCCAAAAUUGACUUUUUUGGGGGAUGCGGUUGAUAAUGAGUGCAACACACUAAUGUAGCCAUGAUCCUUUAUUUGUAAAACAAAGACAGUUUAGAAAAUAUCUACUUACCACUUAUACAAUUUAAGUAAGAACUAUAUGCUGUAUCUAUUAGUUACAUAGUUGAGUUUCUCACUUGAUUUCUUUUCCAAAAAGAAAGAAAUUUCCAAUAAAUUAGAGAGAUGUGUUUAAAAGCCUCCUACCCUAAACUGGGUACUUACUGCUUUGAGAUUAUAUUUGUUAUAGAAAAUAUUUUUGGCAGAUAAUUAUAUUUCUUCAUUUAAAGUCAAAGAAAAUAGAUAUAUUUUCAAAACCUAAUGUCUUGAAUACAUACACAUAUAUAUGCAUCAAAUAAAUGUUUGCUGAUUUAUAUAACAAAUAAGGAAGACAUUCUACAGAAGUUGAAAUUUGGGGUGGCUUAGUAGUGCAGGAAUGUAUGAGACAAAUAUGGGGAACUGUAUGUAUACAUGUUUUUGUGAGUUUGAAAAACGAGUUUUUAGCUUUGUUAGUGAGAAAUCACACAGAUGAGAUAGUAUCAUUUCUCCAGAUCUAUUUUGAACAAAGUAAACCCAGGACAAAAUCUUACAGAAUAACUACACUCUCUACUGAUAUAUUUCAUGAAGACUACAGUCAGUAGUAACAUUGAAGGAAAUUUAUUAGAUAUAGAUGUGAGAAUUCUGAAAGUAAAAACAAAGGUUAAAAGAUUAGUGCUUAUUAUUUACAAUCAUUACUCUUUUCCUUAUGUAUAAAAUAAAACAUUCCUUGAUAAAUAUAGUCAGUCAAUCAGCUGCCUUUCUGUUGGACCGUGCACCAGUUCUAAUGCUGCAUAACAAAUAGUAGUUUCAUUCGUUUAUGGAGAGAAGGAAAUUUGGGGAACAAUUUUGAGAAUUGUGGAGUGAAUUACUCCAUUCCCCAGAUUUAGAAAACAAAUUUGAUGGCACAUAUUUAAGUAAAUAUAUAUAACUUUAAUUUUGGAGCUUCAUUAUUAAUGCUCUAUAAUGUAAGAUUCUGAUUUCGUGUAUUUUCAGAUAAAAACAAAAAAAAGUAAAUGGGAACAACAGUUGAAUUCUCUAUAUAUGCAAAAAUAGAUUAGAAAUUGCAGGGAUUUAUUUAAAGCCUUGCAUGAUGUUUCCAUUUUUGGAGAAUUAAAAUAAUGCAAGAUAAAUCUCUUUUAUGUCUGAUGAACAAUAUUAUUGCUCUAUUUGCAUUUUGGAUUAUAGAUGGAAAAGAAAAC